rnacentral:lncRNA from 1 species
AUUCACUCUUCCUCCCCGCCUCUCCGCCUGAUGAGAAACAGAAUGUGCUCCCUCCCCCCUGGGAGGCUUCAGAUUCAUUUUCUGCUCAGACACCGUUGCUUGCAAAAUUCCACCCAGAAGAUAAGGGAGGGAGUAUCGCUGCAGCGUCCUGCUCUGUGCCUGGUUAUAUUACUGGAUCCUUGUGUUGCAGCCCUAAGAUAGAAGGAUUGUCUCCAUUUCACAGAUGAGAGAGAACUGAUGCGCAGGAGGCUGAAAUUGUCUGAAGUCACACAGCAGCCUCCUCUUAAACAUGACAAAGAAUCCAAGGACUUGUGCUGGGGCUGUCAGCUGCUAUUCUGGUGCCCUGGGGACGAAGAAGGGAUCUGGAGGGAAGACUGUCACCCUCUUGCGAAUGUUUCCAAGAAGCAGCUCAGCAUGGGAGAGAAAAGGGGAGAUCCCAGUUCCAGGAACACCUGGCCAGUGUUUCACCUGUUUAUCGGAGUUGACAGGACCAGCCAGCCCUUUCCCACCUCUCCCCAUCAUGAUGGAUGGGAGCCUGGCCUUUGAGAAAGCACAGAACGUGGCACGUUGGAGGAAAUCAAAAGAAAUCUCGCCAUUGCCGGGAAUGGGUAAAUCACUCAGGCCGCGUGGGUCCUUGGCAGAUGGCAGAGGCGGCUUCCCAGUCC